GACGAACGCUGGCGGCGUGCUUAACACAUGCAAGUCGAACGGUAAGGCCCUGCUUUUUUGGGCUUCUCGAGUGGCGAACGGGUGAGUAACACGUGAGUAACCUGCCCUUGACUUUGGGAUAACUUCAGGAAACUGGGGCUACUACCGGAUAGGAACUCCUGCUGCAUGGUGGGGGUUGGAAAGUUUCGGCGGUUGGGGAUGGACUCGCGGCUUAUCAGCUUGUUGGUGGGGUAGUGGCUUACCAAGGCUUUGACGGGUAGCCGUCCUGAGAGGGUGACCGGCGACAUUGGGCCUGAGAUACGGACCAGACUGCUACGGGAGGCAGCAGUGGGGAAUAUUGUACAAUGGGCGGAAGCCUGAUGCAGCAACGCUGCGUGUGGGAUGAAGGCCUUCGGGUUGUAAACCGCUUUCGCCUGUGACGAAGCGUGAGUGACGGUAAUGGGUAAAGAAGCACCGGCUAACUACGUG
rnacentral:rRNA from 1 species